rnacentral:rRNA from 1 species
UACGUAGGGAGCAAGUGUUGUCCGGAAUCAUUGGGCGUAAAGCGCGCGUAGGCGGCCCUGUAAGUCCGUUGUGAAAGUCAAAGGCUCAACCUUUGAAAGCCGAUGGAUACUGCAGGGCUAGAGUCCGGAAGAGGCGAGUGGAAUUCCUGGUGUAGCGGUGGAAUGCGCAGAUAUCAGGAGGAACACCAAUAGCGAAGGCAGCCCCCUGGGUCGACACUGACGCUCAGGCACGAAAGCGUGGGGAGCAAACAGG